rnacentral:tRNA from 1 species
GGUCGCUUAGCUCAGCUGGUUAGAGCAUCGUACUAAUAAUGCGGAGGUCGGCAGUUCGAUCCUGUCAGUGAUCA